rnacentral:rRNA from 1 species
AGUGAACGCUGGCGGUAGGCCUAACACAUGCAAGUCGAACGGCAGCACAGAGGAGCUUGCUCCUUGGGUGGCGAGUGGCGGACGGGUGAGGAAUACAUCGGAAUCUACUCUGUCGUGGGGGAUAACGUAGGGAAACUUACGCUAAUACCGCAUACGACCUACGGGUGAAAGCAGGGGUUCUUCGGACCUUGCGCGAUUGAAUGAGCCGAUGUCGGAUUAGCUAGUUGGCGGGGUAAAGGCCCACCAAGGCGACGAUCCGUAGCUGGUCUGAGAGGAUGAUCAGCCACACUGGAACUGAGACACGGUCCAGACUCCUACGGGAGGCAGCAGUGGGGAAUAUUGGACAAUGGGCGCAAGCCUGAUCCAGCCAUACCGCGUGGGCGAAGAAGGCCUUCGGGUUGUAAAGCCCUUUUGUUGGGAAAGAAAUCCAUCUGGUUAAUACCCGGGUGGGAUGACGGUACCCAAAGAGUAAGCACCGGCUAACUUCGUGCCAGCCGCCGCCGUAA